UGUAGUGCUUUCCAAGGAAUUUACAAGAGAAUAUGACCAGACUGCAUGUAGUCAUCUUCAUGUUCUUGAUUAGUUUCUGCCAAUCCGAUGACCGCCUAACACCGGCAAAGCCACUCAUCUUCCCCGGCGGCGACAAGCUCAUCUCGGAUGGCGGCGUCUUUGCUGUCGGCUUCUUCUCCCUGACCACCACCAACUCAACCCCAAGCCUGCUCUACCUUGGCAUAUGGUACAACAACAUCCCGGAGCGCACCUAUGUCUGGGUCGCCAACCGCGACAACCCAAUCACCACCCAUACGGCGAGGCUGGCUGUUACCAACACCUCCGGGCUUGUGCUAUCCGACUCCAAGGGGACCACGGCGAACACGGUCACCAUCGGAGGUGGUGGAGCCACCGCGGUGCUGCAGAACACGGGCAACUUCGUGCUCCGGUUGCCCGAUCACCCCACGGACACGAUCCUCCCUGGCCUCCCUGGCUUCAAGCUAUGGACGAACAUACAAGAACCAUGAGGCGGUGCGCGUAGUUGCUUGGAGGGGUCGUCGCGACCCGUCCACCUGCGAGUUCUCCCUCAGCGGUGACCCUGACCAGUGGGGGCUCCAUAUCGUCAUCUGGCAUGGGGCGAGCCCGUCGUGGCGCAGCGGUGUCUGGAACGGCGCGACGGCCACCGGCCUCACCAGGUACAUAUGGUCCCAGAUCGUUGACAAUGGCGAGGAGAUCUACGCGAUAUACAACGCAGCUGAUGGCAUUUUGACACACUGGAAGCUGGACUACACCGGGAACGUGAGCUUCCGGGCAUGGAACAACGUAUCAUCGACUUGGACGAGCCCAUUCGAGCGACCAGGCCAUGGCUGUCUCCACUACGGCGCCUGCGGGCCGUUCGGCUACUGCGACAUCACCGGCAGCUUCCAGGAGUGCAAGUGCCUUGAUGGCUUCGAGCCGGCCGAUGGAUUUAGCCUCAACUCUUCCAGAGGAUGCCGAAGAAAGGAGGAGCUGAGAUGCGGUGGCCAAGACCAUUUCUUCACCUUACCAGGGAUGAAGGUGCCGGACAAGUUCUUGUACAUCAGGAACAGAACCUUUGAGGAGUGUGCCGAUGAGUGCGACCGCAACUGCUCGUGCACGGCAUACGCUUAUGCCAACUUGAGAACUAUCCUCACGACGGGUGACCCCUCAAGGUGCUUGGUAUGGAUGGGGGAGCUUCUCGACUCGGAGAAAGCCAGUGCCGUUGGUGAGAACCUGUACCUUCGACUCGCCGGCUCUCCUGCAGUAAACAACAAGAACAUUGUAAAGAUUGUACUCCCAGCUAUAGCAUGCCUGCUGAUACUGACAGCAUGCUCAUGCGUUGUACUCUGUAAAUGCGAGUCAAGAGGCAUACGACGAAACAAGGAAGUACUUAAAAAAACGGAGCUAGGAUACUUGAGUGCUUUUCAUGACUCAUGGGAUCAAAAUCUAGAGUUCCCUGAUAUUAGCUAUGAAGACCUCACCUCUGCAACAAACGGUUUCCAUGAAACUAACAUGCUUGGAAAAGGUGGUUUUGGCAAAGUAUAUAAGGGAACAUUGGAAGAUGGCAUGGAAGUUGCUGUUAAAAGGCUUAACAAGGAUUCUGAGCAAGGGGUAGAGCAAUUUAGGAAUGAAGUAGUUCUUAUUGCAAAACUGCAGCAUAAGAACCUAGUUAGACUUCUUGGUUGUUGCAUUCAUGGAGAUGAGAAGUUGCUUAUUUAUGAAUACUUACCCAACAAAAGCUUAGACAAAUUCCUCUUUGAUCACGCAAUGAAGUCUGUGAUUGAUUGGCAAACAAGGUUUAACAUAAUCAAAGGGGUAGCUAGAGGACUUCUUUAUCUCCAUCAAGAUUCAAGAAUGAUGAUAAUUCAUAGAGAUCUCAAGACAAGCAACAUCUUGUUGGAUGCAGAGAUGAACCCAAAAAUAUCAGAUUUUGGUAUGGCAAGGAUUUUUGGAAACAGUGAACAGCAAGCAAGUACUAGACGAGUCGUUGGGACCUACGGCUACAUGGCACCUGAAUAUGCAAUGGAAGGCAUUUUUUCAGUCAAAUCUGACACCUAUAGCUUUGGCGUAUUGCUACUGGAGAUUGUAAGUGGAUUAAAGAUCAGCUCCCCUCAUCAUAUUGUGAUGGAUUUUCCGAACCUUAUAGCUUAUGCAUGGAACUUGUGGAAAGAUGGAAUGGCAGAGGCUUUCGUAGACAAAAUGGUUCUGGAGAGCUGUUUGCUUAAUGAAGUAUUGCAAUGCAUCCAUAUUGGACUAUUGUGUGUUCAGGACAGCCCAAAUGCCAGGCCGCAUAUGUCAUUAGUUGUGUCGAUGCUGGACAACGAGGACAUGGCACGCCCAAUACCGAAGCAGCCUAUAUAUUUCGUGCAAAGGCAUUACGACGAAGAAGAAAGACAAGGCUCGGAAAGUUCCGUUAAUAACGCGAGCCUGACAGCGCUAGAAGGCCGCUAGACUGUAAGAGAUUAAACUCUCAAGCAGUUUCUGCAGUUGUACAUUACUACAGUAGGAGCUGAGGUUUAUAGAUCUUGUAAAAGAAUGCAUUGCAUAAGCAGAUUGAUGUACCCCUAAUCCGAUUUGCAACAUAUGGGUAAAAAUAAAUAAGUGGUUCCAUGUGCAAUUCACUCAUGAGAUGUUGAAAAGAAUGACUUGCACAGGCAGUUUUGUUG